AGUGCUUAUUUUAGGACACUAAGCUUGUUCUUGGGAAACCAUCAAUUUAUGUUGGCGAAGUGGUUUCCCCUCCAACGCUGACCUAUAUCAAGAUCAACUCAACGAGAUCUGCAAUAUUUAUUAUAGACAUAUGCAUCGACAACCGCCCUUUUAAAGUUUUUAUAAAUAGAAAGAAAGAGGGGGUUGGAGAUCUCGAAUGUGGUGAUGUUGGAGAGACCAAUUGAUUGGGAAGAUGUUGCAUAUGAGCAUGGAGUAAAUGAAGUGGCUAUGAAAUAAAUUCCAUGCUCAUUAAUGCUUGGAGUGAAAUCCAUGUGGUGUGGUGAAAAUGGUAAGGUGAAUGU
rnacentral:lncRNA from 1 species